UACGUAGGGUGCAAGCGUUGUCCGGAAUUAUUGGGCGUACAGAGCUCGUAGGCGGCUUGUUGCGUCGGCUGUGAAAUCCCGGGGCUUAACUCCGGGUGUGCAGCCGAUACGGGCAGGCUAGAGUCCGGUAGGGGAGACUGGAAUUCCUGGUGUAGCGGUGAAAUGCGCAGAUAUCAGGAGGAACACCGGUGGCGAAGGCGGGUCUCUGGGCCGGUACUGACGCUAAGGAGCGAAAGCGUGGGGAGCGAACAGG
rnacentral:rRNA from 1 species